GUGCAGCAGGCGAGAAUAGUCUACAAUGGACGAAAGUCUGAUAGUGCGACGCCGUGUGUGCGAUUAAUUCCUUCGGGAUGUAAAGCACUUUUCUAUGAGAUAAAAGCUCUUUAGGUUAAUAGCUUAUUGAGACGGAUAUUAUUAUAGGAAUAAGCUCCGGCUAACUCCGUGCCAGCAGCCGCGGUAAUACGGAAGGAGCGAGCGUUGUCCGGAUUUACUAGGCGUAAAGGGCUAGUAGGCGACUAAUUAAGUUAUAUGUUAAAUCCCACGGCUCAACUGUGGUCCUGCAUGUAAUACUGGUUAGAUAGAGUACUGUAGAGGAAGGCAGAAUUCCUGGAGUAGCGGUGGAAUGCGCAGAUAUCAGGAAGAAUACCAAAAGCGAAGGCAGCCUUCUGGGCAGUUACUGACGCUGAAUAGCGAAGGUGUGGGUAGCGAACAGGAUUAGAUACCCCCGUAGU
rnacentral:rRNA from 1 species